rnacentral:rRNA from 1 species
GUGGAUUAGAUACCCUAGUAGUCCACGCCCUAAACGAUGUCAAUUAGCUGUUGGGGGUUAGAAUCCUUGGUAGCGUAGCUAACGCGUGAAAUUGACCGCCUGGGGAGUACGGCCGCAAGGUUAAAACUCAAAGGAAUUGACGGGGGCCCGCACAAGCGGUGGAUGAUGUGGAUUAAUUCGAUGCAACGCGAAAAACCUUACCUGCUCUUGACAUGUACGGAACUUGCCAGAGAUGGCUUGGUGCCCGAAAGGGAGCCGUAACACAGGUGCUGCACGGUCGUCGACAACU